UAACAUACAAACGAAGCAUGUGCACUGUUGUGGAGGCUGUAUGUUCUAGAAUGACUAAAGACAUACUUCAAUGAGAUGAUCUUGCAGCAGAAGAAACAUUACAGAUUCAAAGGUUAAUUCAUAUGUUGCUGGAAAACCUUUCAUCUUUAUUGGAGUCUUUGGUUGGUAUUAAUCAAACAACAAACCACAAGAAGCGUUAUCAAGCUCUAUUGACGAUUUAAUUCCUUCACUUCCUCAAUUACGGGUAUUGGCAGGGUAAUAGCCAUUGGGGCGGCAAUGGUGAUGAAACCGAUGUUCCGGAAACUA